AUCGAUGAAGAACGCAGCGAAAUGCGAUACGUAAUGUGAAUUGCAGAAUUAGUGAAUCAUCGAAUCUUUGAACGCACAUUGCACCUCUUGGUAUUCCUUGAGGUAUGUCUGUUUGAGCGUCGUUUGCAUUAUUAAGACUUUGUCUUGUGUUGAUUUAACCUGUCAAAGGUCAAAUCGAAAUGUAUUGGCGUUUGCUCUUGUCUUGAUUUGUAGCGAAAUACGAUGACAGUCAAAGAACAAUCGUCUCCCAAACCUUAAAGCAUGACCUCAGAUCAGAUAGGGAUACCCGCUGAACUUAAGCAUAUCAAUAAGCGGAGGAAAAGAAACCAACAGGGAUUGCCUUAGUAACGGCGAGUGAAGCGGCAAAAGCUCAAAUUUGAAAUCUGGCAUCAGCCCGAAUUGUAAUUUGUAGAGGUUAGUUCGGCAAGCAUUUUGGCCCAAGUCUUCUGGAACGGAGCAUCUUGGAGGGUGAGAAUCCCGUACGGUCAAUGUGUUAGCCAUGUGAACUUCCUUCGACGAGUCGAGUUGUUUGGGAAUGCAGCUCUAAUUUGGUGGUAAAUUCCAUCUAAAGCUAAAUAUUGGCCAGAGACCGAUAGCGCACAAGUAGAGUGAUCGAAAGAUGAAAAGCACUUUGGAAAGAGAGUGAAAAAGUACGUGAAAUUGUUGAAAGGGAAGCGCUUGCAAUCAGACUUGUAUACAGUUGUUCAGCUUGUCAUUGACAGGUUCAUUCUUCUGUGUUCAUGCCAACAUCAGUUUGAGCGGUUAGAUAAAGGUUUGGGGAAUGUGAAUCUUCGGAUUGUUAUAGCCCCUUACACAAUAUAACCAGUUUGGACUGAGGUCAGCGUUCGCUAGGAUGUUGGCUUAAUGGUUGUCAGCGGCCCGUCUUGAAACACGG
rnacentral:rRNA from 1 species